CCUACGGGAGGCAGCAGUGGGGAAUAUUGGACAAUGGGCGAAAGCCUGAUCCAGCCAUGCCGCGUGUGUGAAGAAGGCCUUCGGGUUGUAAAGCACUUUCAGUGGGGAAGAAAGCCUUGGGGCUAAUACCCUCGAGGAAGGACAUCACCCACAGAAGAAGCACCGGCUAACUCCGUGCCAGCAGCCGCGGUAAUACGGAGGGUGCGAGCGUUAAUCGGAAUUACUGGGCGUAAAGCGCGCGUAGGCGGUCUGAUAAGCCGGUUGUGAAAGCCCCGGGCUCAACCUGGGAACGGCAUCCGGAACUGUCAGGCUAGAGUGCAGGAGAGGAAGGUAGAAUUCCCGGUGUAGCGGUGAAAUGCGUAGAGAUCGGGAGGAGUACCAGUGGCGAAGGCGGCCUUCUGGACUGACACUGACGCUGAGGUGCGAAAGCGUGGGUAGCAAACAGGAUUAGAUACCCGGGUAGUC
rnacentral:rRNA from 1 species